CCUACGGGAGGCAGCAGUGAGGAAUAUUGGUCAAUGGACGAGAGUCUGAACCAGCCAAGUAGCGUGAAGGAUGACUGCCCUAUGGGUUGUAAACUUCUUUUAUAUGGGAAUAAAAUGUUCCACGUGUGGGAGUUUGUAUGUACCAUAUGAAUAAGGAUCGGCUAACUCCGUGCCAGCAGCCGCGGUAAUACGGAGGAUCCGCGCGUUAUCCGGAUUUAUUGGGUUUAAAGGGAGAGUAGAUGGGUUGUUAAGUCAGUUGUGAAAGUUUGCGGCUCAACCGUAAAAUUGCAAUUGAUACUGGCAGUCUUGAGUACAGUUGAGGUAGGCGGAAUUCGUGGUGUAGCGGUGAAAUGCUUAGAUAUCACGAAGAACUCCGAUUGCGAAGGCAGUUCACUGGACUGCAACUGACACUGAGGCUCGAAAGUGUGGGUAUCAAACAGGAUUAGAUACCCCUGUAGUC
rnacentral:rRNA from 1 species